CUCGAUAACGCCAGGUUGGUUGUCUGGAGAGCUUGAAACGACCUUAUCCUCUAAGGCAUUGAUAGAAUUCAUCAAACUACUCGAAUUUGAAUGCCACUUUCGUAAGUUGAAUCCGCCGGUUGACAUUAUUUCUUUGGAUUCUUCGUAAAUUUGGAAUGCCUUUUCAUCAUUCUGCGCACCCGACACCAGAUCAUCAACAUACAGGGAUUCUCGUAAAUGUUCUACCAUUUCUGGAUUGUUCUCUUGCAAAGUGUCUAGAUGAUGAUUAAUAGUCGCCCCUAGAAUAGCUGGGGACGGCCUCAAACCAAACACUAAUCGGCAAAAUCGUAAUUGAACUAGUUCAGGGUCAUGAUGUUCAAUGUUCUUGAACCACAAAAAACGUAGCAUAUCGCGAUCUUUGUUG